rnacentral:misc_RNA from 1 species
UGGUGGAGCUGAGAGCGGGCAUGAAGAUCUCCCGGAUCUUCGAUUGGACCCUCAACGCAUUUCGUCUGUGGUGGCGAACGGAUUUGAAAGGAAAUGUGGAAGGCGGGGGGGGGAAAGAGGAAGUGAAGGGGAUGGGUUUGGGAGAUGGGGAUUUUGGAGAGGAAAGGAGAGGAGGAAGCCAUGGGAAGGAGAAUGAGGGAUUGGAGAGAAAGAGAGAGGGAGAGGAAAGGGGUGUGGAUGUGUGUGGGAGGGUAGGAGAGGAGGGAAAAAGAGAGAAAGCGGGCGGAGAAGACGAUGAGAGGGUGGGUGGACGAUUUGAUCUGCCCCACUCUGUUUCCAUCGC